rnacentral:SRP_RNA from 1 species
GCCGGGUGCGGUGGCGCGCGCCUGUAAUCCAAGCUACCGGGAGGCUGAGGCUGGCGGAUCGUUUGAGCUCAGGAGUUCUGAGCUGCAGCGGACUAUGCCGAUCGGGUGUCCGCACUAAGCUCGGUAUCGAUAUGGUGCUCCUGGGGGAGCCCGGGACCACCAGGUCGCCUAAGGAGGGGUGCACCGGCCCAGGUCGGAAACGGAGCAGGUCAAAGCCCCCGUGCCGCUCAGUAGUGGGAUCGCGCCUGUGAAUAGACGCUGUAGUGCAGCCUGAGUAAUACAGCGGGACUCAGUCUUUU